UGAGCCUCAAAUUCAUGCAUUUCUAUAAUUCAUUUUCCUUCUAUAGUUGUAGUACCAUUUUAUUUUGUUGUGAAUGAUGUUAAUCAAGGCACCAAGCUUGCUUUCAUUUUCAAUUUGAUCAAGUGUUGCACAUUUCUCUAAUUCAUUCCAUUUCUUACUAGAUCAUCACAUACAUUGUAAUUGAAGGCAUACAUUGUAAUCGAAGGUAUGAUUGGCUGCCUUCGAUUUUAUAUAGAAAUUUAUUUUAUCUGUCACACAUGAAAUAUUUGUCGGCCAUUGAUUAUUUUUCAGGUUAACUGCUUUGCAUGAUAAAUACUCACUCAACUCAAUGCCAUUGGAUAUCUUUGCAGAUUUUUUGGUCAACAAAACUAAGAAGCUAAUAUGUUUGAAAAUAUCAUGAAAGAUGUCGAGAGUGAAAAGAAUAAGUUGAUUUUAAAUCAAGAUCUUGUGCAGGAAAAACUUGGAGCAACUCCUAAAACUGAAAAGGUCAACAAUGCUGUUUUUGAGUGACUAAAAGAAAGCGAGAAACUCAUAGAAGAGAUUCUCAAAGAAAUAACAGAACUAGAGAUUCUCAAUUAUGAUUGUUCAUUUGCAUGGAUACUGUGGUUAUUGUGUGCUGAUCAUAAGAUGAGAAAUAGGAGGUACGGAGAAAUGCUAG
rnacentral:lncRNA from 1 species